GGAAACAGGAAGUGUAUCUCUUUUCCCCUCCGCUCCUGCCUCAGCUGCACGAUGUGAUCCACCGGCAAAGAGGGAUGCCAAUAAGGCAUCUGAUAAGUUUCAGGUCUGGAAUGAAGAUGCUUGGCAGCCUAGUCUUCAUCCUUCUAUGAGAAAUGUAGGCAACACUGGGAAAAUUGCUGGAUAUUUCCAGAUGUGUGUGAAAAGAGAGAACAUGGAGGAAAUCACUGCCCAAACCUGAGGCACAAAGAGCUAUCCAGGAAAACUGGGAGGCAAAUUAAAAGGACAAUAAUAUCAUCAUCAUCAUCAUCAUCAUCAUCAUCAUCAUCAUCAUCAUCGUCAUCAUAUUUAUCAUGUUAAUAUCAUCAUCAACAACAGCAACAACAGCAAUUGUUAAGGAAAGUGUAAACAUUAAAACCAGACUCAAGUAUAGCAGAGCUGCUACAAUUAAUUUCAGAGGCAUUUUAACAUUCUAGUUAAUGAGCUAAAUUCAAUAAAGUCAAUAAAGAGCAAAUGACAUGUAAGAAACAGAGGAGCAAUGCUGGUAGAUUAAUGGAAAUUAUAAGAGAUGUAAACACAAACAAGCAACAAUGACAACAACAAACCUACUGAAGAUCAAAAAUAUAGUAACAGAAAUGAAGAAUGACUUUGGUGGGCUCAUGUGGUAGAAGAACAUUGGAAUGGAAGGAAGAGCUUCCCUCAAGAGAAACUUCCAGAUUUGAAACACAAAAGGAAAAAAAAAAGACUGAGAAAGCGAAGUCAGUACAAAACAACAGCUGAAACCUGUGGGACACCUACGGAGUAGAGCAUAUGUGCGCCGGAAACACAAAAUGGUAAGAAAAAAAGGAAGAAAAAAUUGAAAUGAUGAUAUGAAAAUUUCCACAAGUUAUUAUUUGGUACUAACCCACCAAUCCUGGAAACUCAAAAAAUACCAAAUAUUCAUGCCUGGAGAGAUGGCUCAAUGAAUAUGAGCACUUGUUAUUACAGAGGACCCAGGUUCAAAUCUUAGAACCUACAUGGUGUCUCCUUACUGUCUGUUACUCCAGUUCCAGGACAUUUAAUGCCAGCUUCUAAAUUCAAUAGGUACCAGUAAACGUGUACUGGUAUGAAUAUCCAAGAAGAGAAAACACUCAGGCAUACAAAAAAGUAAAUAAAUUUUAAAAAUACAGAGUAGACUAAAAGCCUAAUAUGUGAAGCUUACUACAGCAUAUUAUAUUCAUAGAGGAGAAUACCAGCAAUAAAAAAAUGCUGAAUGAAGACAGUGGAAAAAUAAGCUAUUGUUUCUUCAGAAGUAAAGGCAAAUCACAACAUUUAAGGUCUCCCUAGACGCCCCACAAGGCAAGUUGACUGAAAUCUUUUAAUGUUCAGAGAAAGAGGGGUUGAAAUUCUAUACCCUGUGGAAUUAUUAUUUAAAAGUAAAAGAUAAAUGCAAAUUUUCAGAGUUAAACCAAAAUAGUGAGGCUGUUGUCAGAUCAGUCCUGAAAGAAAUGCUAUGAGAACUUCCAUAGAGGCAAAAGUCACAAGCUGAGAUCUACAUAAAAAGAAAAAUACCAGAAAAGGAAUAAGAGAAAGUAAAAUAAAAUCAUGUAUUUGUAAAGAUCUCAAUUGAUAUAGCAAUUUAUUCAAAAUAGAAGUGGGCCCGAAUUGGAAAGUGUAUAUGUUUACUAAUGUAUUUUUUUGAAAAUUCUUUCUCUUAGUCUUUGUUGUUACAAUAUAAUUAUGUAAUUUCUUUCUUUUUUUUCCUCCAUGAAAUCCUCCCAUAUACUGUCUUUGUUCUCUUUCAUGCCCAUGGCCUAUUUUUCAUUAAUUUGUAUUGCAUACAUAUGCAUUCUUAAAUACAUAAAUACAACAUGUUCAGUCUCUAUAAUGUUACUUGUAUCUGAGUCUUUGAGGCUGACCGGUGGGUAUUGGAUAACCAGUUGCUUUCAUUCACCUUGGAGAAGACUUUCUCUUGGUUUUAGCACUCUUUUGCUGCCUGUAGUAUUUUGUAUAGGAUUGAGGACUCCUAGGCUCCCUCUACUCCUUCAAUCCUGUCAACUUUAUUAUAAGUAUUGUUUUUUUGCAUUCUCACCAAUAAUUGAAAUGAAUGACAGUGAUGAUAUAAGGAAGAGAAGGAAGGAAUUGGAACUAUUUGGUUGUUAUAAUAAUAGGACUCUAGUCACAAACCAAUGUAUUCUCAAGAAGCAGUGUGGUGGUACUGAUACACUUUGAAGGCAUGGUGUCACCAGGAUAUCACUUUGUGAUUCCCAAGCCAUUCACUUCCUGGUAACUUGACAUAGGGUAAAGUGAUCUACACUACAGAAGUAAGGGUGGGAAAUGGUCAAAGGACCUCUUUACCGAUUUUCAUUUUAGGCUGAUUUUAUGUCUCUAAAAGUAGUAGUUUUUCCCAAGAGGUUUCACUUUGUUUAAUUGACAAACCCAUUUGGUUUUCCUUUUAGAGGUGGGGCAAUAGUAUGCUUUUUUCCUUACCAGAAAUUAUCCUUCUAGGUAGGAAUCUUAUAAUAGACAGAAAUCUGGGAGCCCCAUGUGGUUAUCUGAUAAUGAACCUGUUGAAGAUGCAUGGGUGUCAAGACUCCUCCCAGGGCCAGAUAUAUGACUCUAGUCCCUUUUCUCUGAUUAGCAAGUAAAAUUCUGUGGAUCUCAUAAUUUAGUUUACAUGUUGUUAUAGCGCAAGGGAACAGUCCAGCCUCAGUGUCCUCCAAGGUUGCUAAAAUCUAAGUAACUAACUAACAAAGAGGCAUUACAAUUAGUCACAUCAAUAAUUCAGUAACUUUUAUCUCAAUAUCUGAUUAAAUUCUUAAGAUAUGUAAAAUGAUGUUGUAAAGCCUGUGGUAUAACCCACUGGGAGUGGAGCCAGACCUAGGAUACGGUCAUGGGAUAUAUAAGAUAGCAGGCAAAGCCGUUUCUCAACAGGAAAGUAGUUGUCAGUAGAUGAUGGUAGAGCCUUGCUCCAAAAUCCCAGAGGUCUCCUCAAUGCUUGUGUAGCCAGGUUAUGAUAAUAGAAAUUAAGCAAUACUUGAAUCAUAUCUCUGAUCAUAGGAAGAGGGGUCACACUCCCAAAUUGUUAGAAGUUCCUUGACAGAAAACUAAGAAAGAGGAGAUUUUUCAUCAUUAAACCUGUUUAUAAAAACAUGUGGCACUGAAUAUCAAAUCAUCAGAAAAAUGUUAAGUCCUGUUCAGAUAGUUCAUAUGCAGCUUGCUUCUCUACUAAGCUUUCUAUUCUAUAAUUGAAAUUUGGAAUCACCUACUAUUCUAAAAUUUCAAAUUAAUUUUCCUUUUCCACUACUUCAUGUUUUUAUUAACAAGGAAUUAAUUCAUAUAACCAUGAAAACAAAUGAAAUUGGGACUGGAAGACAGCUAAGUGUGUAAAUUGAUGGAUCCACAACUGUAAGGACACAACUUUGAAACCCCAAGAGUCCUGUGUUGUCAGGUGUGGUAGUGCACAUCUGCAAUCCCAACACUCCUAUGGAGAGAUGGGAGGGAGAAGCAGUGAAUCCCAACAAUACCCAACAAUGUCCUCUGACUUCCAUACAUGAACAUCCACACACAUAUCCAUGCACAUGAAUAAAUGACAAGUAAUGGCUACUCAAAUAUUUUUGUAUGACUACCUAGUACUCAUAAAGCCGCAAGAAACAAGCAAUUUCAUGGAGUUGGAAAUUUACUUACUGAGAAAUGUCAAUUCCUAAACGUGAGGCCCCCUCACCUUGUAGGAAAAUAAUCAGUUCACUAACUUCACACUCUUAUUUUUCAUUCAUCUCUUAAGAAGUUUUUCAAAUACCUAUGAAAUCACUGCAUUGCCUUUCUCUUGACACUUAUUUAAUAAAUCCUGUACCUAUUUAAGGACUCAAACCCCAGCCCAAAUGCUCCCUAUGCAGUGUUUAAAAAUGUUGCCAUUACCUAAUGUUCAUAGUGCCCACACCUAUUAGAUUAGUUCAAACUUUUUUUUCUUUUUUGCUUAGCUGCUCUGAUUACCGUUUGCUUAUAGUUUAUUUUUAAUUCUCUUCAUUUGGACUUUAUUUCCUUUGUAGGCUUUAUUUUUUGAUUGUUAUCUUUUAAAAUCUGUCUUUUAUCUAUAAACUACCACCUUUUUAUACCCAAAUUUAGAAACUUGCUCUUGAGUGGUAUCCCAUAAAUGCCCUCUAUUGUUAUUUUUCUAUUGUAUUACUUCAAGGAAUCAAAUAUUACUACAUCUUUCAGUAAAUACGAUAAUGGUCCACUGUAAAAAUUAUGAGUCUUAUCUAAUUUGAGAGGGUCAAUUAAUGAAACAGUCAGGUAACCUGGGAAAUAGUAUCUGAAAUUUUGUGUACAGAAAGGAGUUUCACUUGAGAAAAGUCAGGAAAGAAGAAUUAGGAAGUAAAGAAUUGGAACAGGAAUGUAUUAUAUUAGACAUUGACUAUCAUGAAAUUAUAUUACAAAAGUAAUUGAUUUUUAAAAAAUGCAAAGCCAAAUAUUAGACUCAUUGUCAGGAACAUGGGUUGUUCGGAAAUUUGAUGUAAAAUAAUUUUUGUAUUUUAAAACUGAGUGCUAAAGUACCCAAUAAAGAUAAUCCUCAGUAUGUUAUCUUAAGUUCCCCAUGUGUCUACUUUUUAUAUUAACAUCUCAUGAUUAUUUUGCUUUAGAAUAGAUUUGUGUUUCAUUAGGCUGAAAACUAAAAGUGAAAACAUUAGAAAAUAUGAGAGAUGCAAAGUUUAGUUCCUCAAAUCUAAUAGAACACUGACAAAGAAACUCUAAAAAAGGGAAAAAAAUCUGAGUGCAAAUUAAGACAAAAUGCCUUGUUUGUUAAUGACACCAGUAGGAGAGACACAUAAUAUAUAGCUCUUAUACAUGAAGCUUACAGUGCAUCUUCUAGUCAGAGGUAAGCAAAUUAUGUAUUUCAGCAGCCUUCUCACAUGCCUCUGGCAUUGGUGCAAUUUAUUGGAAUAUUUAUUGGAACUUGUCUGUGGCCAUGUGUCUUUGAAAUCUAUGGCUUGUAUCAGAAGAUCCAGCAAAUGCUAAAAUAUUUCCUCUUUGGUGCUUUGCAUAUAAUACUUUUGCCUCAUGGUCAAUUCUAAUGCAAUGAUAGAUCCUUUGUUUUUUCAUGGGGGUAUAUGUUUAAAUAGAAACUUUGAGGAUUUCUAUCUUUCUUCUAGACAUCUGAUUCAGAGAAUUAUAAAACACAUUUACAAUCACUGUAUCCCAACCUACACAACUGGCAGAAGGCGUCUUUCCCACCAGAGGAAAGGCCAGCUCCCUCAACCCAAGAGAGAUGGCAAAGACUAUUUCUGCCAUCAGGGAAAAAUAUAUCUGCCUUCACAAAUAUUUAAGGUGAGGGACCUGAGAUCUUAGAAGACCUUGUAAGGAACAGGCACAUUGAAGAUCAACACUUUCCUUGAUGAGCUGAUAUGGAAAAGAUGAGUUUAUGUUAAAACAGCUUAAGAAAGACCAAGCAACAUGUCUCUUUAUGGGAUGAAAGUACAAAGGGGGAAAGAAGAGAUCAUAGGGUAAAAGAAGUGAUGGAGUACAUGUGUCAUGAAAGCAGGAAGAGAAGACUUCUCAGAGAGGGGAUGAGUAUGGACAAGAGCAGCCCACAGGAGAUGGGUACUGAGCAGUGCUGUGAAGGAAAAUGAAAAGCUGUGGAUUCCUUCCAGACUAAUAUGGUUUGAUCAAGCAAGACCCCCUGAAGCUGAGAUGAUACAGCCUUACAGACUACAGAAACACGGACUUGAGCCUUCAUCCAGAAGCUGAUGGAAGUAGAAGAAGACACCCACAGCCAAACACUGAACUGAACUGGAAUCCAGUUGCAGAGAAGGAAGAAUGAUGACCAAGGUGGACAAGACCAGGCUGGGGAAACCCACAGAAACAGCUGUCUUGAACAAGGGGGGCGGGCUCUUGGCCUCCAGACUGAUCAUUGGGAAAGCAGCAUGGAACUGAACCAGACCCCAUGAAUGUGGGUGUCAGUGAGGAGGCCUCAAAAAACUAUGGGGCAUCUUGUAGUAUAUCAGUACUUAUCCCUAGCAUAAGAAUGGACUUUGGGAGCCCAUUUCACAUAGAGGGAUACUCCCUCAGCCUAAACACAUGGGGGAGGGCCUAGGUCCUAUCCCAAAUGACAUGACAGACUCUGAAGACACCCAUGGAAGUCCUCACUCUUCUUAGGGAGCAGAAAUGGUAUGGGAUAUGUAGGAUGGUAAUAGGUGGGCAGGGUAGGAGGAGAGCAUGUAAAACAAUCUUGUUUCUAAUUUAAAUUAAAAAAUGGAGGCGAAAAAAGGCAUAGUAUUUGUGACAUUAGGUUUGGAAUUUCAGAUGCUUAGUUUUCACAAAUCCAGAUGUGCUGGUAGUACAGUGACUAGGGGGUGAGAGAACAUUGACAAUGGUGAAAAUGAAAGGGACUUCAUUGUAGAUAUAGAUAAAAGAAAUGUAAAGGAAGGGGGGUUUUUUUGACAGUGUUUCUUUUUGUAUGUGUAAGUUGUUGUCUGUUUGUAACUUCUUUAUUGUCCAAUUGAAGUUUAAAUUUGUAGUAGCAAACAGGAGAAUUUCUGCUCUCUGCUUGGUGGAUUUCUAUCAGAGAAAAAUAUAUGCAUAGCUUUAAUAUCUGCAUUUGUAAAUACACUUCUCUGAGGAAGAAACAAAUUCAACAAGGGUGUGAAACCAAAUGCCAAACUAGUGAGCCACUUGACAGAGAUCCUGAGGAUGUGACUGUAAUCCUGGAGGUUAUGAAAGACCUUACAAUGGAACAGUAUUGUAAUUACAAUUUAAUUACUGAAUGUUAGACUGUUCUAAAAAUAUCUGACAGAAGAUGAUCUGAAAGCUUAUACACUAAUGCAAAGGAACUGCAUUGGCUAGGAACAUAAUAUUUAGUAUUGGGGGGCAGAGAUGAUACCAAUGUGAAAUGAAUGUUGCAGACAGAAGAGGCAGCAUGACUUACAGAGGCUUAGUGGCUAUACCACACAGAGACAUACCAAGGAACCAUGAGCCAACAUAGCCUUAAAUAAGUAGGAAUCAUAACAUAUUCUUUUGGGAAUAUUUCCUAUGAGCUUCAUGCACUUGAAAAGAAUGUCAAACACACACACAUAAUGGAAGCAACUAAUGUGAGUUGCCACUACUGCUAGUUAAAUACACCACACUGUAGGGAAAAUGAUUAACUUUGUUUUAAAUUCAAAUGUAAUUACUGGAUUUCCAACUCUCACUCCAUCCUACCAUAUAUAUACCAUCAACUACCCCCAGCUCCCUUUCAAAUUUACAUAUCAUUUUAUUUAAUUACUAUUGUUAAACACACACACACACACACAAACACAAACACAUUAACAAAUAUGUAAAUACAAGCAACUCUGUCUUUUCAGUAUUGCCUGUAUGUGUAUGUUUUAGAGCUGACCAAUUACCAAUUAAUUUUGAAAAAGUGGUUUUGAAAGUUGAUGUAUUUUCUUAAUAAUAUCACAUAUUGUUAAUCUGUAAAGGCUAGUUAAGAUUUAUAAGUCCCUAUAGCUUUAGCUGUGAAAUGGAAAAAUAAAAAUAAC
ensembl:lncRNA